GGACAAUAACAUAAGCUGCCGGAAAACUUCUGCAUUUUUACCUCCUUCCCUCCUGCCUGGGCAAAAAUUGGAUUAAAGACGAGAGAAGCAAAGCCACACGGGGAUGGAGCGCAGAAGGUUAUAAAGUUACGCUAGUCUUUGGAGAAGGACAAUGCAGGUUAUUCUCCAUAUGGAACUCACUCAGGUGGCCUCCAAAAUGUGACGUCUUAGAUGUGUCAGUGCCCCACUACCAUGGCAACAUCAUUGGACUGGAGAAGGGACAUGAAGUUUCAAAGAAACAAUCUUGAUAGCAAGGAGGCCUCCCCAGACUGAAGACCCCUGCUCACCUUUCUUCUUCCAGCCAAGGGGCUUUGAA
rnacentral:lncRNA from 1 species